rnacentral:rRNA from 1 species
AACGAACGCUGGCGGCAGGCCUAACACAUGCAAGUCGAACGUGAAGCCACCUUCGGGUGGUGGAAAGUGGCAGACGGGUGAGUAACGCGUGGGAACGUGCCUUUCGGUUCGGGAUAACCCAGGGAAACUUGGGCUAAUACCGGAUACGCCCUCUGGGGGAAAGCUUCAUUGCCGAAAGAUCGGCCCGCGUCGGAUUAGCUAGUUGGUGGGGUAAAAGCCUGCCAAGGCGACGAUCCGUAGCUGGUCUGAGAGGGUGACCAGCCACACUGGGACUGAGACACGGCCCAGACUCCUACGGGAGGCAGCAGUGGGGAAUAUUGGACAAUGGGCGCAAGCCUGAUCCAGCCAUGCCGCGUGGGUGAAGAAGGCCCUAGGGUUGUAAACCCCUUUCAGCGGGGAAGAUAAUGACGGUACCCGCAGAAGAAGCCCCGGCUAACUCCGUGCCAGCCGCCGCAGUAA